rnacentral:rRNA from 1 species
AUUGAACGCUGGCGGCAGGCCUAACACAUGCAAGUCGAGCGAGCGGCGGACGGGUGAGUAAUGUCUGGGAAAAUGCCUGAUGGAAGGGGAUAACUACUGGAAACGGUAGCUAAUACCGCAUACCAUCAGAUGUGCCCCGAUGGGUUUAGCUAGUAGGUGGGGUAACGGCUCACCUAGGCGACGAUCCCGAGCUGGUCUGGGAGGAUGACCAGCCACACGUGGCCUGAGACCCGGUCCAUACUCCUACGGGUGGCAUCAGUGGGGAAUAUUGCACAAUGGGCGCAAGCCUGAGUCAGCCAUGCCGCGUGUGUUAAGAAUGCCUUCGGGUUGUAAAGCCCUUUCAGCGGUGAGGCGUUGCCCGCAGAAGAAGCACCGGCUAACUCCGUGCCAGCAGCCGCGGUAAUAC